GAUGAAGAACGUAGCGAAAUGCGAUAAGUAAUGUGAAUUGCAGAAUUCCGUGAAUCAUCGAAUCUUUGAACGCAUAUUGCGCCCUCUGGCAUUCCGGAGGGCAUGCCUGUCCGAGCGUCAUUACUAUCUUCAAGCACAGCUUGGUUGUUGAGCCCAAUUGUCCUCUAAUGGACAGGCUUGAAAUGCAGCGGCGAUGCCAUGUUUGGUGCCCGAGUGUAUGGGGCUUUGUCACACACUUUUGUGGCCCAGAUGGCGUUGUCUUUUAAAGUACUUAAUAACUAUGAUUUGACCUCGGAUCAGGUAGGGAUACCCGCUGAACUUAAGCAUAUCAAUAAGCGGAGGA
rnacentral:misc_RNA from 1 species